GCAUUGAAUUUAGAAAAAAGGCAGAGGGAUAACAUUGGAUAUGAAGGAAAUGGUACUUUAAAUGCCCAUAUGUAAUUGUGGUCUUAAUUAAAGACCAGUUCAGAAGAACUUUAGGUAUAAAACCAGUUUCUUUCAUUUUUACUUAGAAGUUUCCUAUUUUCAAGAUGAAGGAGAUUUUUUUUCUCAGUUAAGUUGCCAUUGGGAAAUUUGCUCUAGUAACAGUGAGAGGACCCAACUUAUGUUUUUAAAUAUUGUAAUUAGGUUAAUUUCCUUGUGGUCAUAGCAAAGCAGUGAUCAAAUCUGGAACACACCCGAACUGGAGAGGAUAAAUCCAUGACAAUUGCAUCCCCAAGGCACUGCAGGAUAUUGUGCUAGGCAAUAUCCAGAAGAUAAGGCAAAUUCAGUGAAGGAGAAAGAAACAAUGUCAGCAGAGAGGUCGGUGAAGCCAACUUGGCUAAUCCUCAAUGCCAGGAUCUGCUCAAGAGGGCAAGACUUCUUGACAAGUUGUGCUCUUUGGGGACUUCACUGCAUGGUCCUAUUGUGCACCUAAAAUAUGGUUUGCAAUAGAAAACCCAGCCUUUGAUCAUUCCACCAAAUUUAUUCAUAUUUCAAGAUGUAACAUCAAUGUGAUCAGUCUUCUUGUCCAUCUUGGUCAAGUCUGGUAUUGAAGUAGCAGUGGAGCACACAUUGCUGCUAUUUUUCUUAAAUGCAAGAAAUAACAAAUAUAAUCCAACCUAGAUAAUUUUUUCUUUGUAUUUCACUUUCUUCUUUGACUCAAUUUUUAUUUCUCCCUUUCUUUCUUGCUAGACAUUACUAAUUCUAUGCAGUAACUACUUAGUUUAAAAACAUGACUCUGCAAAAAUAUUGCAAUAGUAGGAGGGAGAUGACUACGCACUAAAGGUCAUUUUUUGUGUGGAGUAAAUAGAACAAGUAACAGUCAUGUGCAUAACAUUUAUUACUUAUGAAUUUAUAAACAUUUAUCACAAAAUCACCAGUACUACUGAGCUAAAGGGCACUUUAGCUAUUUUUUUUCCUCUUCUACAGUAUUUAAGCUUUUCUAACAUAUGUGACCUUAUUACUUAUAGAAAUUUCUUCCUUCUUUUCCAGACUUUAAUUCUAUAAAGUUGAUUGUGGUUUAAUUGAUCACUCAAUCCUCAAUAGAUUUGAUGGUGCCUGGCAAAUAAUAGGCAUUCAAUGAAUAUUUGUUAAUCAAAUCUUCUCUAUGUAAGGUAAAGGAACUAAAACCCUGAAAGAUUGAUGUGAUUUGCAGUGGCUUACACAGCUACCCCGCAGGAAAACCUACCUGAAGCCCUGGAUCUUCCAGUAAAAAUCUUAUGUUAUUAACUAUUUUGGAUUUGAAUCUUGCCUUGCUUCCUUGACUUGCCUUGAGGAUUCAAACCAUGUUUUGAACUUCUAGAACACUGUCUCUGUUCCUCCAUGUGCUCAAUUCCAGUACAAGUGCAUGGCUCAGAAAUUGUUCCAAAGAAGGUCUUUUUAAAAAACAUAUGCUGGGGUGCCUGGGUGCCUCCGUUGGUCAAGCGUCCGACUCUUGAUUUCAGCUCAGGUCACAAUCUUAGGGUUGUUAAGAUGGAGCCCUGUGUUGGGCUCCACAAUGGGCAUGGAGCCUGGUUAAGAUUUGCUCUCUCUCAGGGAGGCAAACCAUAAGAGUCUUAACUAUUGGAAACAAACUGAGGGUCGCUGGAGAGGGGGAGGUAGGUGGGGAGAUGGGGUAACUGGGUGAUGGGCAUUAAGGAGCCCAGCACUUGAUGGAAUGAGUACUGGGUGUUGUAUGCAACUGAUGAAUAACUAAAUUCUACCUCUGAAACUAAAAAAAAAAAAAGUUUAAAAUUACCAUCUGGAUACCUGGCUUCAGGGGCAAUGUACUAUAAUCAGUAGGGGACUUGUUUUCCAUUUUAUCUUUUAAUGUCGUAUAGCACAUUUAUGUGACUGUGUUUUGAUUAAAUCAUAUUCCCAUAAGUCACACACAAAAAAGAUUCUCUCUCCCUUUCCCUCUGCCCCUUCCCUCAACCCCCCACUCUAUAAAACAAAAAAACAAAAACACAUAUGGACUAUUUUAUUCUAAAAAUUGUGUUGUUAAAAAAUGCUUGAUGAAAAAAAUGUUUUAUGGUCAAACCCAGAUGCUAUAUUGUAAAUAGUUGACCCACCAUUUUUCCUUGCCCCAAAUCACCCAGAUUCCUAUAAAUCUCAGGGAAAUAUUGAGAAUACAGGGUAAAAAUUUUUGUCUAUUGUUUGGUAGUUCUCCCAAAAGAAAAGUUAUGCUUUUUACUGCCCAGUUAGAUACUUUGCAGCUCUUAGAAAUUCGAGAAGGUAAAACCUAUGUAGUAAAGGUAUCAUGCAACAAUAUGUAUCACUCCCCACCUCCUCCAGAGGGUGAAAAGUACAAAGGUAAACCACAUGAACCUAAGGAACAAAGUGAACCACACAGAUCUGUUGGAUUUGAUAUGAUCAAGAGGAAAACCAUCUAUUUCCUUCAUUGUGCAUAACACUUCUGAGAAUAGCAUCACUCUAAAAUGCUAAUCCUUACUCAGUGCUCUCAGGCCUUGCCCUAAUCCCCUAUAGGGGCAAUUCUCUCAGACAGCGGGCACUAGUUCAGUCUCCAGUAGGCAAAGGCAUAAAACUGAUAAACAUAAAUCCCUCCACCCUUAGCCAGGGAAACAAUAAAUAAAUUCAACGGAUACGUAAUGAGCAGGCUGCACAGCCAGUGUUCUGAGCUCCCCAAGCAGGGAUUUAUUUUUUUUAAUAUUUUAUUUAUUUAUUUGAGAAAGAGAGAGAAAGAGUAUACAAGCAAGGGGGAGAGGCAGAGGGAGAAGCAGGCUCCCCGCUGAGCAGAGAACCUGAUGCGGGGCUCGAUCUCAGGACCCUAGGAUCAUGACCUGAGCCAAAGACAGAUACUUAACCGAGGGAGCCACCCAGACACCCCACAAGCAGGGAUUUAAGUCCAAAUAUGCACCAGUGUGUUGCCAGUAGACUAAAAGCAUACAAAAGAGAGAAUAAAGAUAAAAGCAUGCAGAUCCUCCAAAAUUCAACCAGAGGAUUAGUACCCAGUAAUCAUAUCAAUCUGUUCCAGUCUAAUACUAACACGAAUACUUUCUGCCCUUAGAAGUCCCCUUAGGUCCAGCCAACAACUGUCUGCACUUGUUUAAAAAGGAAAGCCUUAACACAGGGGCUGGGGCUGGGGAGACAAUAUAGAAAGAAAAGACAAACAUUCUUAUGGCUAGUGCUUCAUGUUUUGUUUUGGAGGAUUUGGCUGUAAAAUUUACUUCUUGCUUCUGAGAAUUGUUUUUCAGCCAUAAGGCUUUCAAAAAUCUGGUAUACCUAAUUCAAAGCCUUUAAAAUUUAUGUUAUAAAAUUUAUUGUGGUGCCCUCAUAAAUCAGCACUUAGUAGUAACAAAUUAUCAGAACGUGCCAUAUAUUAAAAAGAUAAGUCAGAAUUAAAUAGUAAAGAGAGAAGGUGUUUUCAAGUCCGACAGCGAAAGCACUAACUAAUGGGAACAUUUGCAAACACGACAAUGAUUUACAGCAGGGCUCUUGGCUACAGUGCAUAAAUCUAGCAGAAGAUUUUUGCAUCUAUCAACUGGGACUUUUGGUCCAUUGUUUAUAAAUCAAGAAGUUAAUGAAGAGUCAGGGAUCUGUAAAUCCAGACACUAAAUUAGAGAUUUGUAGCUUUUGAUUUAUAAACAAGUUACCUCAAAAAUUACAUAUAUAAAUAAGCAGAAAAAGAAAUUGCAUUUAAAAUCAGGUGGAGGUUAGCACAUAUAAAUCAUAGUUGUAAAUUAAAAGAUUACCAAUAUCAAUGCAACCAAUUCAACAACUCUGCAUUUCAUAAAAUUGUAACAGGGAUAUGUAGAACAGAAUGCCAACACUCAGCAACUUCAGUGAAAUAAUUAGCUCAUUCUUAUUCCUUUAAUUUUCAUAGGUUACUUUUUCAAAAAUAGGGUAUUGACAGUGCAAUAUUUUUUUGCUCUACCAUAAAAGAACCUCCAAAAUGGCCAAUCAUAAGCCAAAAAGACACUGUCUAGUUAUAUAUAUGAACUUCAAAGAUCUUUCUUUUCCCUUCAGAUACACACACACACACACACACACACACACACACAAAACAUACCAGGUAAGGACAAUUCUCUCACAUUUUGCUGUUUGCUAACUUUAUCUCACAGUGGAAUACUAGAUAAACACAUGCCAUUUUGGGAGCAGGUUGCUCAAGCCCCACAUGGUUGCUUUACAGAAGCCACAGGCUAUGACACUGAAGUACAUGAGCUUGAGGACCUCAUAGACCUCCUGUUUGUUCAUCCCCAAAUAUCUCCUGAAGGGAGAGGGAAGCUCUCAUCACAAAAGAAUGCAAGCAAAGCAGAAUCAAGGAACAUUAAAGAGCAUGGGAUUAAGGAACCCAGACAGGUAACUGACUCCAAGAUGAAUGUGAACAGGGCGCGUUUGCCUUCCCCUGGCUCUGUUUCAGGGAGACUCCAUUGUUCGAUUCUCUCCCUAUGAGUUACAGCAGCAGGGAAGAGCUGGGCCCAAUGGAGUUUCAGGGAGACUCAUCCUGUCAAAGCUGCUCUCUGCCCUGUAUCUCUACAUCCCACUCAACCCUUAACAGGGAAGUGCCUUGUUCUCUUGGCUACACUGAGGCUAUGGUAAAAUAUCCUGCCUUCCCAUUCUGACUGCUUUCUAUCUUCUUCUUUCCAUAUCACAUUAGUUAGUAUGUCACUCAUCAAUGAAAUCAUAUAUGCUCCAGAUUUGGACAGAGGCUAAUCUGUGACCCCACGUGGACUAACAGCUGUACAUGUUAAUAGGGAUCUUUAGUACUCUUCCUUCAGGGAAGUCUUUUUUUUUUUUUUCCAGGGAAGUCUUAAUGUGAGACCUUAUCAAGGUAGAGGAGAAGGGUAAUAAGCGGUAGGAGUAGUGGGGGUGGGUUGUGGAAAGUGUUCAGGAACAGGGACAUCUCUUCUAGGAUCAUCCAGAUGAUACCGUAUAGGACAUUGAUUGUUUACUACUCUGACUAGAAUGGGAUUAAAUAAAAUUUU
rnacentral:lncRNA from 1 species